CUGGUGGGCAUGGCUGUGCGGGCCAAGCAAAGACGGCGGCGGCGCGGGAAGUAGGGUGAGCCUUAUCCUCUCAGCCAGGGGCAUAACAGUCAGCUCACAUGGCAAAAGAAGGGAGAAAUCAGAAAACCAAUUACAAAAGCAAGAAAAGGCAUUCUAGCGUGUGGGUAUCGUUUUCGUUUCAUAAUGAUAAUAUGGCGAAAUCCAUUUGCGGGAUGGCAUUUGAACGAAGCUCACUUUUUUGAGGAUGGCGAAAUUGCAGUUUUCUCUUCUCCCUGCGAGAAAUUUAAACAUGGAGUCACCUCUGCACUCCGGUCCUCUGGCCUGGCGAGUGGCGACCCUAAACUUCUUCGCGGUAGGUUCCGUCGAGAUCAGAGCCGAUGCUGCGCGAUUCUUCUCGGGGGCUCGCUCUGCUGGGGAGGUAGGUCGAGGACGCGCUGUUCGAUGCAAUGCCUGACCCGUACGCCAAACUAAGGAGAAGAAGCGGUUGUUCCGGACUUCGCCAGGUACUUCCACGCCACCUUCGCUUCUUCCUUGCUUGGCUCGGCGGGCAUGGCUGUGCCUUGCUGUUGUUAUACUGCUAAUAACUUUUUAACUGGUGAAUAUACUAUCAGUAGGCGGUAAACCCUCCUGUUGCUCCGAAAGAAUUACUUUCAAGUUUCAACCAUGAGGAUCAGUAAUUCAGCAUUAACUUGCCCAUUCCAUUCUCCACUCGUUCCUUUUUUUUCUUUUACUUCCAUAGAAAGAGAACAUGCUUGGACAAUAUAUAGAACAAAGGUUUAACUAUAAUUUAUGCUAGAAGAUCAAAAUGUGAAGUGUAAUGCAAAUUCCAUAAAAUAUAUCACAGGAAGGCCACCGGACUAGUUGGCUCUGUAAGUAAGAAAUGAUAUGCUCGCACAGUAAAUGCAAAUGUUUAACAGGACAGCAUUGCCUAUGCCAUGUUUUGUACUCUGGAAGCCCAUUGAGGCGAGCUAGUCAACCAAUUGCAAUGCAUUACCAGCACACAAUAGAAAACAUAUAUGAGUACAUCACAAGUUCAGAACAUUGACACAUAUAAUUCUCAAACCUCUGCUUUUGUUGUGCAACACUAGCAAGCUUAUUAGGCCUUAGUCGCCAUCGUAUGACUCGUUAGGUUUCCAUGUGGAUAUUGCUUUCAGUAUCCUUCCCUUCCAUCCCAGAAGUAGCCAUUGAUCAUCUUCGCCGACAACAUAAUCUUUGUGAUAUUGUCCCACUAUGUCUCUUGUCUCUUUCACAAUGUCUGGAUUUAAUGGGAGCUGCUCAAGGCCAGCCUUCAGGUUUCGUGACUUCCAUUUCUUAAAACUCUCUGGUCUCUCAAUCCUAUCUGAUCCUUCACACGCAAUGACAUUGAGAAUCGUACACAGAUAGAUAUCCCUCUCUAUGAUCAUUCUUGACUCAUUAUCUCGUGGGACAAUUUUAUCAAGGAUAUCAAACAAUGCAGAGUAGUGGUACAUGAGUUCUUUAAAACGUGUUAAAAAGAAGGGGGUGCUGUAUGAUCCAUUAACGACUCCAUGAACAAAAACUUUUGGCUUCAUCAUUCUAAUGGUAUUGAGCACUCUAUUCCUGGCACUGUUAAUGGAUACUGUCUCAUCACCGAGAUUCUUCAUUCGGAAUAGACAGUUGACUAUCAGCACAUCAUCUUCCUCAAUGUGGAAAUCUUCUAUGCGGAUGGUUUCCCAUUUUGAUGUUAUUCCGUGAUAUUCAAAAGGCACACUGAACAUGCUAGCAUACUCAGCUAAUAGGUGUCCCGUGUUUGUAUUCAUUUGAUCUGGUCGAAAUCCUGGCUGGGGUAGCUCAAUACCUGUGAUCCGAACCUUAGGAGGUCCAUUUUCCCUCUUUGCGAGUUGCUCAAACAAUGAUGGCCACUGAAAACCAUAGCAAAUGCCAAAAUCGAUGAUGUGCACCUUUGGCUUUCCCUUUGAGACAUCAAGGAUUGUCUUAUUUGAGAAAUAAUUUGGUGCCAUCUGGAAAGGACAUAACUGGAAUACCUUUAAAAUGCCCACAGCAUUUCUGCAUUUAGUGACCAACUUCUGAUACAGCUGGCACCCAGUUCCAGCUAACCGUGCCUCAAGGCAGUCCGCUAGGCAAGAUGCUAGCCUCUGGGUAUCAUCCCCACUUAUAGAGCAGUUUUUCCUUAUGAUGUUCAGUAUGGCACUUGCUAAGGUGUGAUUAUUCACAGAUACUGCUUGUGCACAGUGGAUAAGAAGGGUUCUCAGAUCCACAACCUCUUUCUUUUCUUGCUUCUUACCUCUUGUCCUCCGCCGAGCUGAUGUUCUUUCUUGAUCAUUCUGUGAAUUUCUGGUUGAUUUGCUUGUCAUCAUUUCUCGCAAAACAAUACCUUCAUCUGUUGGCUUAUGCUCAGAGAAGAGUAGAACCCUGUCAAACAUCUCAUCUCGGGUUGGCCUGCUGAAUGAAAUGGCCAACUGCUUGCUACUCCUUCCUUCUAACAAAUAAAAACCUUCUGUGCGUGGAUAGUUUUGACAUUGAACCUCAAAUGAUGCAUUCAUGCUUGUGUUUGCGACAUUCACCUGAAGUGAUUUAUUAUCUCGGCUACGCUUUUCAGCAAUGGAAAGGCCAUCAAUGUUCAAACCAUGCUCCAUGUUGUUUGUACCUUGAGUGAGAUGAUUUGUCUCUUUGACAAUGUCAGACAAACUCCAUGGAGCUUCAAAGGCUUGCAGGUUGUGGUUAGAAUGAUUAUUACUUGAGUCAAUAGCAACAGAGCAGCUACUGCAUGACUGCCAAGACUUGUCGAUGCAGCCAUCGAGGUUAUUCGGAUAAUCACAGCUACGUAGCGGUAAUAGAGGAUAAGCUGAACUAUUUUGUCCAAGAAGUUUAUAGAAAGGCUCUUCCACAUCUCUAAGGGCAUUCUCUCCGUGAUGUAAUUUUACCCUGCCAUCACUGUCCUCCUGCAUCAACAGCUUGUUUAUGUAGUUGAGGGUUAUAUCUGAGUUGAUCCAACUGCUCUUAGAAGAACCUGCCACACUGGUUCCAUACCAAUCUAGUGCCGCAUUGCUACUGACCUCACAGCAUUGGGGACCAUAUAUUUUACUUGGAUAGGAGUUGUUCAGUGUAAUAUGACCAUGAUCGUUAAAGGUACUUGAAACAGGAGGAUAAUAAUUCAUGAAGCUUGGUGGGUGCAAAAAUAACUCCAAAUCAUUAGACUCAUCGGCUGGAUCAACGGAUUUCUGAGACAGGGCAUAGCACCCAGAAGUACUCGAAAUGCUGCUUGGGAAAUCCUCAAAGUUAGAACUAGAUUUGCCGUUGAACUCCAUUGGUGGAGUGCUUGGUCACAGCAAAAAGUCAUAGGGUUCCUUGCAACUCCCCUGUAAACAAUGCUAAUAUGUAAAAUUAAAUAACAAACAGAGUCUUUUAUGAAUUAUAAAUAUAAUAGUGGAUACUAUGUUUCCUUAAUAUUCUCUUGAAAGAGAAAUUCUGAAAACAUGCACUAGAUUGCAUUGGUUAUAUAUGAUACAUGUAUAUAAUAGAGUACUAUUCUCCAAGUAGUCAAAGCAGUUUGAUUUCAUGUUUUUUAAGAGUAUGAAAUGCCCAAUUGAACAACAAAAACUAGGCUGAAGAGAAUAGACUUGCUAAGGAGUGGAUUGAACAAAGCUGUAGAGUGCAUGAACUUGUAACAUAAUUUCUUGAAAGUUAAAGCAAAUCUUCAUGAAAAACGCAUGACAGCUUUCCUUACCUUGCUGGCCAUACUUUACAAGAAGAAAAUAUCAUCCCAAUAACAUGAAAAGACCAAAUGAACUACCUAUCCGUGAAAACAGUUUUCUGAUGUUUUGCACAAGCACUAAACUGUUAGGCUUAAGUUUAAAUCCCAAAGAUAAGCUUUAUUGGAGGCAACCAAUAGGUUGUAUCGCUAUACUGGAUAUUAUCACGAGAGAACAUUUAGGAUGGUAACGAACUAAGAUGUCACCCUUCAUGUUAUUACUCUAUCAGAUCAUGAAGCAUCUACUUGUCAAGGAAAAAAAAAUAUUUCCCAAUAACCAUCUCAAUCACUGAUUCUUACAUCAGUUAUUCCCUUACAGAUGCACAUAAAUUAGUAAAUUGAUUGAAAAUGCUAUAUGCAACUAAAAUCAAAGGCACGAAUUUGACAUUGAUUUGAUCAAGGAAUGGACUGAAGAUAAGAGAGUCUUACCAUUGUGUUCCUGCAGGUAUAACACGCACGAUGGAAUUCGCAGGCCUGGAGGACACCCGGACGUGAAGACCGACCCAGAUGGAAUGGCAAACUGAGGCGUGAGCACAAAGAAAACAACGAUGAACGAUGCAACUGUCUUACGGGCUCUCGCGUUGUCUUUGGCCUGCAGUAUCAGCUAGCAUGACUCAGUCACUCAGCUGUGCCGAGGGAAGCGAGAGCGAGUCAAUGUCAGCUUGCAGUACGAGAGUAUGAGUUGCCCAGUGGUGAGCGAGCCUGACGAGGUUCAAACGUUGAGAGCUACGGUUGAAUUCGUCAUCGUGUUCCCUGCACGUGAGCUAGGGACAAGACGAGCUCUAGAGAUGAGGCGUCGUUUCAGAUGUUGCUAGACAGGCAGCUACGGCAGAUAUCAUCGCUGCCGGGGAGCUCUUCCAGCUUUGAGCCUCGGAGUUGCAGUCAGGCUGCCAACGAAAUAUUCCCUAUCUUCUCUGAUGAAAGUAAAUUUGACUUUGAACAAAAUAGUAGAAUGUCAGGUGGUGCAUUUUGAAUCAGGUAUGUACGAGACAAGGAGUCGCUUUGGGCAAGCUAUUCCCUCCAUUUGUAAAUAUUGGACGUGGUAUAAGUACAAAACUCACGGCAUGCGGUCUUAAAAACUAAAUUAUGAUCGUAAGUUCCUCGUGUAGUAUAUUAGUUAUAGAGAAAAAAUACUAUUGAAACUAAUGGAACCUAACUCACAGCACGCUAAUUCUUGUCUAAAGGCUUCCGAG
rnacentral:lncRNA from 1 species